UUUUUUUUUUUUUUUUUUUUUUAUGGCAACCGAUUCCUCUAUACUGAGGAGUAUUACUGCCAGUGUCAACUGUCAUGUGACGCAUUCAUGUCUAAAAUUAUUGUCAAAAAUAAAAAUUUUAGGGUAAAUUUAAGACAAUGUGUUACUAUUACUAAAGGUGUUAAUUAAUGAUGCAUGCAGACACAGAGGGCUGAGGAUGGAUGAUAUAUUAGCAGGGAGAGGAGCCCCAUUAUCAACCAACAUGUCAUAAAAAGAAGGAGAUGAGUAACGGGGACAGCUAAAAGUAUAUGUGGAACGGAUCCCUCAUCCAGGCCACACUCACAUAUAGACGAGUCUCUUAUGUGUAAUUUAUAUAAGUGCACUGGAGACGAGCAAUGACCAAUUCUCAACCGAGAUAUGGUGGCAGAGAUAUGUUUGCUGAAACGUAAUUUGGAAAACCAAGGCCUAGAAGUUAUGUAAGGUUGAAUUUUGUACAGGUUACCUCCUUUAAGGGUACUAGAGUUCCUCCAACUGGUGUUCCAUGCCAGCUCUAGGUCUUGUUUGGCCAAAGUAGGAAGGUCAAAAGAAUACACUGAGAAGUACUCAUCGUUACCAUGAACAAUAGCAUCUUUGGCUAAUUGAUCUACUGUUUCAUUACCUUUAAUACCUAUAUGGCCUGGAAUCCAAGCCACCGACACUUGAAUGUGUUCUACAUUACAUAAUUUAAUCAAAUGCUUAAUUUCUAGAGACAGUGGGUGAAUACAAUUUUUAGCAAAAGGGUUGCUAAGAAGAGACUGGACACAACUUUUAGAGUCGGAAAAAUUAUAGAAGGCGAAAUAUUGUUAACUCUGAUGUAUUUAAUACAUUCCCUAAUAGCUAAAAAUUCACCAGAAAAUACCGAACAAUAGUGUGGAAAUUUAUAUGAAAAGGAUAUAUUGGCAUUCCAGUGUAAAAAAGCAACACCAACAGGGCUUUCUUUACUUAAUUUAGAGGCAUCUGUGAAAAAAAUCUUAGCUUGGGGCCAACGUUUCUGAAUAAUGAGUUUUAAUUUAGAAUCUGGAUUAGCAGUCUGUUUAUCUAUACCAAGAGAUAACUCCACAGAAGGGGUUGAAAUUUUAGAGCUAAACUCAACUGAAAAUGCUGGAUGUAUUUUAAAUUUAUUAAUAGCACAAGAUAUACCUUCUAGCCUCCUGUAACUUUCAAUAAGACAGGGUAAGGGUUUAUGAUACCAGUAAGAGUUAGAAAUAAUAAAUGAAUUUAAUAAUCUAAGUUUAGAGAAAAGAGGAUGAGAGGAGUAAUUAGAUAUUUUAUAAAUAUAUCUGUCUGACAGAUAUUGACGUCUGAGAUAAAGAGGAGGGUCAGAACAUUCCACCUGUAAGGCAUUUGUAGGUGAGCUUUUCAUAGCUCCAGCUACAAUCCUAAGUGCUUUAUAUUGAACCAAAUCUAAUUUUUUUAAUGCUUUUUUAUUGCAGGGAGGCAGCAAAAGGGUGGCAAAAUCUAAAUGACUCCUCACAAUAGCAUUAUAUAAUAAUCUGAGGGAGUAAGGAUGUGCUCCCCACCAGACACCCCUUAAACAUCGCAAAA